UCCGGUUUGUCACCGGCAGUCUCCUUUGAGUUCCCACCUUUACGUGCUGGCAACAAAGGACAAGGGUUGCGCUCGUUACGGGACUUAACCCAACAUCUCACGACACGAGCUGACGACAGCCAUGCAGCACCUUCCGGGCCGCCCCGAAGGGAAGGCCGGUUUCCCGGCCGGUCGCCCCGGAUUUAGCCUGGGUAAGGUUCUUCGCGUUGCAUCGAAUUAAGCCACGUGCUCCACCGCUUGUGCGGGCCCCCGUCAAUUCCUUUGAGUUUCAUUCUUGCGAACGUACUCCCCAGGUGGUAUGCUUACUGCGUUAACUGCGUCACUGAACCCAAAGGCCCAACAACUAGCAUACAUCGUUUACAGCGUGGACUAC
rnacentral:misc_RNA from 1 species